GGGCUUGACAUCCCACGAACCUGCUGAAAGGCGGGGUGCCUCCGGGAACCGGGAGACAGGUGGUGCAUGGCUGUCGUCAGCUCGUGUCGUGAGAUGUUGGAUUAAGUUCCGCAACGAGCGCAACCCUUACGCUUAGUUGCCAGCAUUCAGUUGGGGACUCUAGGCGGACUGCUAGUGUAUAACUGGAGGAAGGUGGGGACGACGUCAAGUCAGCAUGCCCCUUAUGCCCAGGGCUACACACGUGCUACAAUGGCCGGUACAACGGGUCGCCACACAGCGAUGUGAAGCUAAUCCCUUAAAACCGGCCCCAGUUCGGAUUGGAGGCUGCAACUCGCCUCCAUGAAGUCGGAAUCGCUAGUAAACGUGGAUCAGAAUGCCGCGUUGAAUACGUUCCCGGGCCUUGUACACACCGCCCGUCACACCACCCGAGUCUGCUGUACUCGAAGUCGCUGAG
rnacentral:rRNA from 1 species